rnacentral:rRNA from 1 species
CCCUUAGAUGUUCUGGGCCGCACACGCGCUACACUGAAGGAGGCAGCGUGUACUCCUGGAUCGAAAGAUUUGGGUAACCCGCGAAUCUCCUUCGUGCUAGGGAUUGAGGUUUGCAAUUAUCCUUCAUGAACGAGGAAUUCCCAGUAAGUGCAAGUCAUAAGCUUGCGCUGACUACGUCCCUGCCCUUUGUACACACCGCCCGUCGCUACUACCGAUUGAAUGAUUUAGUGAGGACUUCGGACUGGGACCGAUGCGGCUUUCGGGCUGCGUCGGUAUUCUGGAAAGAUGUCCAAACUGUAUUAUUUAGAGGAAGUAAAAGUCGUANCA